GCGAAUCAGAAUGUCGCGGUGAAUACGUUCCCGGGUCUUGUACACACCGCCCGUCACACCAUGGGAGUCGGAUAUGCCCGAAGUCNGUGACCCAACCAUAUGGAGGGAGCUGCCGAAGGUGGAGCCGAUAACUGGGGUGAAGUCGUAACAAGGUACC
rnacentral:rRNA from 1 species